rnacentral:rRNA from 1 species
CCUACGGGUGGCAGCAGUGAGGAAUAUUGGUCAAUGGGCGAGAGCUUGAACCAGCCAAGUCGCGUGAAGGAUGAAGGAUCUAUGGUUUGUAAACUUCUUUUAUAUGGGAAUAAAGUGAGGAACGUGUUCCUUUUUGUAUGUACCAUAUGAAUAAGCAUCGGCUAACUCCGUGCCAGCAGCCGCGGUAAUACGGAGGAUGCGAGCGUUAUCCGGAUUUAUUGGGUUUAAAGGGUGCGUAGGUGGUUAAUUAAGUCAGCGGGGAAAGUUUUUGGCUCAACCAUAAAAUUGCCGUUGAAACUGGUUGACUUGAGUAUAUUUGAGGUAGGCGGAAUGCGUGGUGUAGCGGUGAAAUGCAUAGAUAUCACGCAGAACUCCGAUUGCGAAGGCAGCUUACUAAACUAUAACUGACACUGAAGCACGAAAGCGUGGGGAGCAAACAGGAUUAGAUACCCUUGUAGUC